GGAGUCUGGGCCGUGUCUCAGUCCCAAUGUGGCCGUUCAUCCUCUCAGAUCGGCUACUGAUCGUCGCCUUGGUGGGCCGUUACCUCACCAACUAGCUAAUCAGACGCGGGUCCAUCUCGUACCACCGGAGUUUUUCACACUGUACCAUGCGAUACUGUGCGCUUAUGCGGUAUUAGCAGCCGUUUCCAACUGUUGUCCCCCGGUAUGGGGCAGGUUCCCACGCGUUACUCACCCGUCCGCCACUAAGUCAUAAAAUCUUCAAUCCGAAGAAAUCUGAUUAAAUGCUUCGUUCGACUUGCAUGUGUUAAGCACGCCGCCAGCGUUCAUC
rnacentral:rRNA from 1 species